AUUGAACGCUGGCGGCAGGCCUAACACAUGCCAGUCGAACGGUAACAGGAAGCAGCUUGCUGCUUUGCUGACGAGUGGCGGACGGGUGAGUAAUGUCUGGGAAACUGCCUGAUGGAGGGGGAUAACUACUGGAAACGGUAGCUAAUACCGCAUAACGUCGCAAGACCAAAGAGGGGGACCUUAGGGCCCCUUGCCAUCGGAUGUGCCCAGAUGGGAUUAGCUAGUAGGUGGGGUAACGGCUCACCUAGGCGACGAUUCCUAGCUGGUCUGAGAGGAUGACCAGCCACACUGGAACUGAGACACGGUCCAGACUCCUACGGGAGGCAGCAGUGGGGAAUAUUGCACAAUGGGCGCAAGCCUGAUGCAGCCAUGCCGCGUGUAUGAAGAAGGCCUUCGGGUUGUAAAGUACUUACAGCGGGGAGGAAGGGAGUAAAGUUAAUACCUUUGCUCAUUGACGUUACCCGCAGAAGAAGCACCGGCUAACUCCGUG
rnacentral:rRNA from 1 species